rnacentral:lncRNA from 1 species
AAAAGAAAAAGAAAAAGCUAUCAUUUUUCUCUUCCCCUUCACAAAAAUAUGCAGCACAGAAAGGGUUUUGAAGUUGGAAAAUUUCAGCAACAUAUUUCCCUUGCUUGUAAGUGAUUUUAAUGUCUUUGCUUGAUGAUUUUUGUAUUUUUGGAACCCCUAAAGCAUAAGCUUUCAUAAGAGGGGAUUAUUUUGCAAAAUGAUGAAGAGUCUAGGGUUUUACCAUGAGAGUAAAUGUGUUGUUUGCUGUGUUUUUAUGGAAGAUUAUGAGUUCUAGUUGUCUAAUAAACAACUUUUGUGAAAGAAAUUGCAUGAAAAUACCUUAAAAAGGGGUAAAUUGCUAAGUUGUAAAAUGAGUUGUAAAUGUGUAAAAUAGUUGAAAUUAUGAGUUGUUAUAGUUAUGAAAAUGGUUCAUCUAGACUCAAGGAGUAAAGAAAUGUGAUAAAAAUUAAUUUACGAGCAUUGGGGCAAAAGUGCAAAUAUGUAAAAGUUUAGGGGUCAAAAUAAAAAUUUGUAAAAAUAUGAUUUUUAGACCCAUAUGAAUAUUGUGACUGAUUGGUAGGCUAAAUGUGAUGUUAUAGAUGAUGAAAAUUGAGAUUUGGACCUAGAACGGAAAGAAAUCGAUUUAUGGACGAGUAUGUCUUUUCACCGUUGUGGUAUCGAGGUAAGUUCAUGUGUAAAUAAUGUAGCAUAAUUGUUAUUUUUAAGUUAUUGAUGUUAAAUAUAUGAUAUGCUGAUUUUUAUCAUGAAAUAUAUGCUUUGUGGUUAUUUUCGAAUAAAAUGCAAGUUAUGUGUAUUAUCUGUUAAAUAUAAAGUGCUACCGAGUAUUGGUUUCGGUAUUUUACGGAAGAUGGCAAGGAUAUGUGUUCGAGGAAAAUCCCGUUUGAACCUUAGGAAUAGAUUAGGAUACAAGUGACAUGUCACUAGGAUGGUUGAGCAUCCAAACUCGUUGAGUUGAGUCCGAGUUCACUUAUGGAUGCGAAUGUUCGAACUCGUUGAGUUGAGUCUGAGUUCGUGAGAUGUAACUAGGCAUCCGAGCUCGUUGAGUUGAGUCCGAGUUCACUUAUGGAUGCGAACGCCCGAGCUCGUUGAGUUGAGUCCGAGUUCACUUAUGGGCGGGUUACAUGGUAGCUUGGCUACAUAUGUGGCACUUAUGUGCAAACUUUUCAUGUAUCCGAAUUAUAUUCCGAUGUGUUCAAUGGGUAAAAUUCUACUCAAAUGGAAGAAUACUCGAGAUGAAAGGGACGUAUUGGUAAAUGUUGUGAAAUGGAUACUUUGAACAGGUAUGUACUUAACCCUCGUGUUGAAAACUCGACAUAACAACAAUAUGGUAAGAUGGUAAAUGAAAAUGUGAUAUGAAUGUCUCGGUGAUGAUUAUACAAACGAUGUUGUAUUAAUUUUGUGAACAAUGAUCAUGAAUGAGUAAUUUAGCCUUGACAGAUUUGAGUUACUGCAGUAGUGUAACUUUGAAAAUACACUAAAAAUAGUGGAAAAUAAGUUAGAGGCAGAAUAAAAUAUGGGAUUAAAGCUCAACGAGUCUAUUUUCACAUGAAAGAAACAGAGAAGAAAAAGAAUUCCAUAUUGUGUGAUAUUUGAAUUCUUGUGAAACAGGGUCUGAAUGAAUUCGAGAUCCCCUAUUCUAACUUUAUAAAUUCACCAAAAAUUUUACAAAAAUUUUUAAGAGUUAUACCUUACAUGCAUAUAUUCAUUAUUGAGUCUAUUUUUAUGGAAAAUAAACGGCAUGGUCGUUGGAAUUUUGUACAGGGAGAAAUUCGGUUUGUAGUGCACAGGGGUCAGAGUGGUCAUACCCUGAAAUAGGGGAGACUUUAACUAAUAAACUGUACUAUUUGGCUUAACCAAAAAUUCUGGAAAUUUUAUGGAAGAAAUUAAAAUAAGUCUAUUUUUAGGGAAAAUUAACGGAACUUAAUUCGGAGUUUAGUAGCUCCAGAUAUAAAUAAUUUAGUGACUGUUGCUCAGGAAGACAACUUGUAGUGAACUUGAGAAUAUGUUGUAAACAUUGAUAAAACAAGUUAAUGAGUUGCUUAUUGUUUUCAUAUGAACUUACUAAGCGAAAGCUUACCCCCCUUCUUUCCCAUGGUUUUUAGAGUUUCCAGGUUAGCUCGGGUUGGAGGCCGUCAGAGAUAUUAUCACCCUAUCGAGUUAACGUUAUCGGAGUAAGUAAAAUCAAGUGAUUCGAGUCUAUGGCAUGUAUAGGGUUUUAAUGUGAGUAUGUAAUAUUAUGAUCUAGCCAAAGGCAUUGGCUUGUUAUUAAGGUAGUGUUAGUUAUGUAAAUUGGCCUAUGUCGGCUAAUAUCGUUAUGGGCCCAUAUGAUUAUUCUUAUGCAUUUAUGUUAUUAUUUCUUGUGAUGUGGCUUACAACAUGUAUGCCUAGAGAUUGAAUUGAGAUUCAUCGAUGAGCUAGUAACUAAUGCAGGAUUAAGUGAUUGGUAAAUAGUUAAUAAUGCUUCAUGAAUGGUUUGUGAUGUAAUGAUAGUUAUGUCUAGUAUGUGGUAAUGAUAUGGGCAAAUUCUAUAAUAUUUAUUGCAUAAGAAAAUAACUUGAGCAUAACAUGUUUGUAGAUGUUUAAGAGCUCAUUUAUGUCACGUUGUAUGUUAUUGGAUAAGUAUGUAUCUAUGCAUAUGGUGUGAGAGUGAUAAAAGGCUUAAUAAUUAGCCUAUUUCUGGCCACACGGCCUGAGCACAUGGGCGUGUGAAGCCUUAACGCAAGAAAUUUUUUUAAGUUUUUCAUGAGUUCUCGAUUGGGUCCCGAACCACUCCAGAUGUAUGUUUUGGGCCUCGUAAGCCCGUAUAUGGGACAGAUUGUAUGUGAAAAGAAAAGUUUUUAACUAUUUGAUAUUUCAUGGCCCUGUUUAGUAUGAAAGUGUUAGUAAAAGUCAGGUAGCACCUCGAACCCCGUCCCGGCGUCGGAUGCAGGCGAGGGGUGUUACAUUUAGUGGUAUCAGAGCAUGGUUUAGUCGAUUCUCGGGCUAACCUAGCGUAAGAGAGUCUAGCUAUACAUGUCAUAGUAUUACUCGUGAUAGUGUGAUAUCUCUCGGCCCUAACAAAACUGUUGAUUAAGACAGGAAUGAGUUUCAACCGAGCAAAUCUUGAUAGAGAUAAGAGUAAAGUUGAGAUUAUUGAAUCAUGCUUAUGAUAUGCUGAAAAUUGGGAAAGGUAUGAAAAGAAAUCCAUGAUUUUUUUUAUAUGAACUAGUUUUCAUUAUGUGAUACUCUUGAGAUAAAGAGUGUGAAAUAGUGGAGUAAAACACAGUUAAGUUGUGAAAAAACGCUUUUAUGCAUGUUAGUAUUCAUACGAUGUUAAAUGUUCAACUUGAUUUGGCCAAGUGUUUAGGAAAAGAAAGAAAUUUGCUUGAAAUGACAGAAUGUAUGUAUGAAUGCUUUUAUUGCAUGAUUAAUAAUCAAUAUAUACAUGAGGUUGACAUUUAUGUCUAGAUUGAUGAAGUCAAGAUGCAGUAAUGUUAUGCUUUAUAAUCUCAGUUACAGAAUCAUAAAUGUCACAAUAGCAUGAAAGUUGUAAUGAAAGAUCAAAUUGGGUAGAACGCAGGGAAUGAGUACGAUCGUUCACUAAUGAAUUGAUGGAAAAGACCAUGGUUGGACCAUGGCAAUACAUGAGAUUUGUGUGCCAGUGUAAGACCAUGUAUGGGACAUGGCAUCGGCAUUGAGACGAGGGCUAGUGUAAGACAUGUCUGGGACAUGCAUCAGCCACAGUAUGAGAGCCAGAGUAAGACAUGUCUGGGACAUGCAUCGGCCUUGAGAUGUUAGCCAAUGUCAGACAUGUCUGGGACAUGCGUCGGCUACGAGAUGUGCUAAUGUAAGACAUGUCUGGGACAUGCGUCAGCACGGUUACAUGUGUCAGUGUAAGACCUGUCUGGGACACGGUAUCGAUACAGAUAGAUGAGAGCUAGUACAAGACCAUAGUUGAACUAUGGCAUCAAGUAAACGAUGUACUCAAAACCAUAAGACGUUCUCCAAUUUGAUAAAUAUUGGCAAGUGAUUAAGACUAAAUAUGGGAAUUUGAUAAAACAUUAAGGGUAAUUUGAAAAAAUGAAAUGAAAGUUUGAGUUAUGAUAAAUUCAUUUAUGUUUAGCUAAUAUUCGCACGAAAUAAAGUUGCAUGUAUUACUGAGAUAUGUGAAAAUGUGUUCAUAACAAGUUGGAAAUUUGAAAUGUUUGAAUCAAUAUGCGUAAAGCUAUAUUGUUGUUGAAUAUGUAUUUGCUUGAGAGUCAAAAGUUUAGAGGCUUUACAAUCUUCGCCCCCUUACCAGAAUAGAGUUAUAUGAUGAGAUUCUCGAGAGAUAUGUUGCAUAAGCUUGCAAAAGUUAAACUAAAAAGUAUAAUAAUGGAAUAGUAUGGGAUUAGUGAAGACAGAAUUAGUUAGAGGAAUAAUGUCGGACUUGCACUGAUGUUUGAGUAUGUCGGAUUCAAUCAAAUAAAAGUGAUGGCUAUCUUUCUCUUCUGAGUAUUCUAUGUUUUCCUCAAUUCUGGGGAAUACGUAUGGUUAUCCCUUUCGAAUGGAAAUUCUAUCAUACGAGGAUGCUAGUGACUGUGAUAUUAGAUGAAAAGCUCUAUUGGUCCAGUUAGUUAUAAUUGACAUUUUCCCCAUCUCUUCAGAUUUCUAUUCUGAUAUAUUGGAAUGAAGUUGAUAGUAAAAAAAAAAAUCUAUGUGAGAUUAUUCUGAUGUUCUAUUGAUUAUGGUUUAUAUAUGCGAGAAUUAUAUUAUCUCUAUUAUGAGAAAUUCUAAAGCGUACAGACAGUAGUUUCCUUCUGGUUUUCUCUAAGGGAUUUUUCGGAUCAUAUUUAUUAUUUUCUUCUGGAUUAUAUUCUCGGAUUUCUGGUGUAGUCUUUGUAUCUUGGAAUUUCUUAUAUUGGCUUUUCUCUCGUUCUUGUUUCGAGAAUUAUCAAGCUUGGCUUAUCUUUACGAGUAAUCUUUGACUUGCGAUAUUAGAAUCUGUUAUGAUUAAGCUUUUGGCUCGACCAUAGAAGUGUGGGGAUUUCAGUGUCGAGAUUUCUUUAAAACUUCUGGGGUAAAGAAUGGUUAUUCUGCAAAGGUAAAUCUGAGUUAUGUGCAUUUAAGUUUAUUCUCUGGUUCGAGAAUACCGUUACGUGUUCUUUGGUAAGUAGUCGUACAGUCAGAAAUGAUGGGGUUUUAUUCUUGAAAGUAUGUUAUGGAAACAUAUUAGUUGGAUUUCUCUUGUUCGAGAGAUGUUAUAAGUAUAGUUAUCCUGAUUAAUAAAAAGACCACAUCUAUGAAGUUGGAAUCAUUUGAUUCAUGUUAGUAAAGUUUCUAAACAGUUGAUGAUCAGAGUAUAGAAAUGUGGCUAUAAGUGGUAAAUUAAACAAGUACAACAUGAUUCGACUUUUAAUUUGGAAUUGCAGGGAGGAUUUGAUUUCUGGUUUCUAUUACUAUUAAUUCAGAGUAAGAUUUCAGUACUGAGAAACUCUGGGUAUACAGAGAAUUGAGUAUAGAGUUCACAGCAGUAUCUUGUUUCUUUGUUCAAAGGAUGUCGAAUUGUCUAUAGGGUAAAGCCGAAUAUCAAAUGUAUUCGAGAUUAUUAUUGUCAGUGAUGACAGUGGGAAGAAAAUGAGAAAGGACUGUUAUGAAUUUCGUAUCGGGAUGUCUCUCAUUUCCAGGAAAAAGGAGAGAUGCAAGUUGAAUUGUGAAAGAUUGAUGAUGGAAGUCUGCAUGAUUAUUUUAGUAUGUACAGAUAUAUUAUUCAACAGAUGUGACUGAGUUGUAUGUUUCUGAGUUUAUAGUUCCAAGAAUGUCAGUCUCCAGUGAUUCAAAUUGAGCUCCGAAGUUUAUACCUCAUCUAUGGAAAAGCUAUAGGAAAUCUUGAGUAUGAGCUUGUGCAGAGUUGUUUUGUAAGUUGUGAGAAAACGAUAUAAGUGACUCAUGAAAGUAGAGAACAACUUUUUCUGGUAAGAUUUUCGAGGACGAAAAUCCUUAAAGGGGGAAAAAAUGUAACAGCCCGAUUUUGGGCCUAGUCGGAACAGUGGUUUUGGGACCACUAUUCCGAGGCCAGAGAAAGUUAUUUUAGUAUUAUUUUAUGUGUUAUAAUAUGAUUUUAUAAGUGCAUGUUAAUUUUGGUAUAUUAAUUUUAGCGAUUUCUAGUCCAAUUUCAAAAAAGGACUAAAUCGCGUAAAAAGUAAAAGUUGUGUUUUAAUACCUAAAGGUGUUAAAUUGCCUUGUAUCUUAAAUUGGGGGUCUUUAAAGUGAAAUUAAGCCAUUGAAAGUGUGAUGGCCGGCCAUGGGAGACAAAAUAGUUGAAAAGUCAAAAUUGAACAAAAUAGUUUUAUUAUUAACAAAUAAAAAAAGAAAAAGAAAAAGCUAUCAUUUUUCUCUUCCCCUUCACCAAAAUAUGCAGCAAAGAAAGGGUUUUGAAGCUGGAAAAUUUCAACAACAUAUUUCCCUUGCUUGUAAGUGAUUUUAAUGUCUUUGCUUGAUGAUUUUUGUAUUUUUGGAACCCCUAAAGCAUAAGCUUUCAUAAGAGGGGAUUAUUUUGCAAAAUGAUAAAGAGUCUAGGGUUUUACCAUGAGAGUAAAUGUGUUGUUUUCUGUGUUUUUAUGGAAGAUUAUGAGUCCUAGUUGUCUAAUAAACAACUUUUGUGAAAGAAAUUGCAUGAAAAUACCUUAAAAAGGGGUAAAUUGCUAAGUUGUAAAAUGAGUUGUAAAUGUGUAAAAUAGUUGAAAUUAUGAGUUGCUAUAGUUAUGAAAAUGGUUCAUCUAGACUCAAGGAGUAAAGAAAUGUGAUAAAAAUUAAUUUACGAGCAUUGGGGCAAAAGUGCAAAUAUGCAAAAGUUUAGGGGUCAAAAUGAAAAUUUGUAAAAAUAUGAUUUUUAGACCCAUAUGAAUAUUGUGACUGAUUGGUAGGCUAAACGUGAUGUUAUAGAUGAUGAAAAUUGAGAUUUGGACCUAGAAUGGAAAGAAAUCGAUUUAUGGACGAGUAUGUCUUUUCACCUUUGUGGUAUCGAGGUAAGUUCAUGUGUAAAUAAUGUAGCAUAAUUUUUAUUUUUAAGUUAUUGAUGUUAAAUAUAUGAUAUGCUGAUUUUUAUCAUGAAAUAUAUGCUUUGUGGUUAUUUUCGAAUAAAAUGCAAGUUAUGUGUAUUAUCUGUUAAAUAUAAAGUGCUACCGAGUAUUGGUUUCGGUAUUUUACGGAAGAUGGCAAGGAUAUGUGUUCAAGGAAAAUCCCGUUUGAACCUUAGGAAUAGAUUAGGAUACAAGUGACAUGUCACUAGGAUGGUUGAGCAUCCGAACUCGUUGAGUUGAGUCCGAGUUCACUUAUAGAUGCGAAUGUUCGAACUCGUUGAGUUGAGUCUGAGUUCGUGAGAUGUAACUAGGCAUCUGAGCUCGUUGAGUUGAGUCCGAGUUCACUUAUGGAUGCGAACGCUCGAGCUCGUUGAGUUGAGUCCGAGUUCACUUAUGGGCGGGUUACAUGGUAGCUUGGCUACAUAUGUGGCACUUACGUGCAAACUUUCCAUGUAUCCGAAUUAUAUUCCGAUGUGUUCAACGGGUAAAAUUCUACUCAAAUGGAGGAAUACUCGAGAUGAAAGGGACGUAUUGGUAAAUGUUGUGAAAUGGAUACUUUGAACAGGUAUGUACUUAACCCUCGUGUUGAAAACUCGACAUAACAACAAUAUGGUAAGAUGGUAAAUGAAAAUGUGAUAUGAAUAUCUCGGUGAUGAUUAUACAAACGAUGUUGUAUUAAUUUUGUGAACAAUGAUCAUGAAUGAGUAAUUUAGCCUUGACAGAUUUGAAUUACUGCAGUAGUGUAACUUUGAAAAUACACUAAAAAUAGUGGAAAAUGAGUUAGAGGCAGAAUAAAAUAUGGGAUUAAAGCUCAAUGAGUCUAUUUUCACAUGAAAGAAACAGGGAAGAAAAAUAAUUCCAUAUUGUGUGAUAUUUGAAUUCUUGUGAAACAGGGUCUGAAUGAAUUCGAGAUCCCCUAUUCUAACUUUAUAAAUUCACCAAAAAUUGUACAAAAAUUAUUAAGAGUUAUACCUUACAUGCAUAGAUUCCUUAUUGAGUCUAUUUUUAUGGAAAAUAAACGGCAUGGUCGUUGGAAUUUUGUACAGGGAGAAAUUCAGUUUGUAGUGCACAGGGGUCAGAGUGGUCAUACCCUGAAACAGGGGAGACUUUAACUAAUAAACUGUACUAUUUGGCUUAACCAAAAAUUCUGGAAAUUUUAUGAAAGAAAGUAAAAUAAGUCUAGUUUCAGGGAAAAUUAACGGAACUUAAUUCGGAGUUUCGUAGCUCCAGAUAUAAAUAAUUUAGUGACUGUUGCUCAGGAAGACAACUUGUAGUGAACUUGAGAAUAUGUUGUAAACAUUGAUAAAACAAGUUAAUGAGUUGCUUAUUGUUUUCAUAUGAACUUACUAAGCGAAAGCUUACCCCCCUUCUUUCCCAUGGUUUUUAGAGUUUCCAAGUUAGCUCGGGUUGGAGGCUGUCAGAGAUAUUAUCACCCUAUCAAGUUAACGUUAUCGGAGUAAGUAAACUCAAGUGAUUCGAGUCUAUGGCAUGUAUAGGGUUUUAAUGUGAGUAUGUAAUAUUAUGAUCUAGCCAAAGGCAUUGGCUUGUUAUUAAGGUAGUAUUAGUUAUGUAAAUUGGCCUAUGUCGGCUAAUAUCGUUAUGGGCCCAUAUGAUUAUUCUUAUGCAUUUAUGUUAUUAUUUCUUGUGAUGUGGCUUACAACAUGUAUGCCUAGAGAUUGAAUUGAGAUUCAUUGAUGAGCUAGUAACUAAUGCAGGAUUAAGUGAUUGGUAAAUAGUUAAUAAUGCUUCAUGAAUGGUUUGUGAUGUAAUGAUAGUUAUGUCUAGUAUGUGGUAAUGAUAUGGGCAAAUUCUAUAAUAUUUAUUGCAUAAGAAAAUAACUUGAGCAUAACAUGUUUGUAGAUGUUUAAGAGCUCAUUUAUGUCACGUUGUAUGUUAUUGGAUAAGUAUGUAUCUAUGCAUAUGGUGUGAGAGUGAUAAAAGGCUUAAUAAUUAGCCUAUUUCUGGCCACACGGCCUGAGCACAUGGGCGUAUGAAGCCUUAACGCAAGAGAUUUUUUUAAGUUUUUCAUGAGUUCUCGAUUGGGUCCCGAACCACUCCAGAUGUAUGUUUUGGGCCUCGUAAGCCCGUAUAUGGGACAGAUUGUAUGUGAAAAGAAAAGUUUUUAACUAUUUGAUAUUUCAUGGCCCUGUUUAGUAUGAAAGUGUUAGUAAAAGUCAGGUAGCACCUCGAACCCCGUCCCGGCGUCGGAUGCAGGCGAGGGGUGUUACAAAAGAAGCUCGACCAGAUCUAAAAGGACUUGGUAAGUACUUUUCCCCCUUUCUUCUUUAUUUGAAAAGCAACUCAAAUCUCAUGUUAUUUUCUUAAAAAAAACAAGAAGAAAUUCAUAAAAUACAAAGACUUUCAACAUUACUUGGCCUCUCGCCCUCACAUCCGCAUAGCAGGAGUAUUUGGGGCUCUCAUCGGCUUUCAAUCGCGUAAAGAAAAUGAGCAAACUAAGAAAAUCAAUUUAGAACAGUAAAAGAAAAGCAAAAAAAAGUGAAAUCACCUCUAUUAAUUUUCUAUUGCUUUUCUUCUAUUCUUUGUGAGUGUGCACAAAUACAGUAUGCAUAGAGUGUGCGUAAUCUCUUCGUGAAAAAUUUGCAGGUAAAAUUAUCGGCUUUUAUAGCCAAACUUACAGAGAAAAAAUAAAAAAUAAAAAUAUAUUUUAUUGGCUGUCAUCUGUUGUAUUCUGUUAGCUUCUUUCUCGUGUAUUCUUUAUAGGAUCAUCCGUACGGAGGAGCGGGGAGAGGCAUGCAUGAAAGAAGCCGUGUGAGGAAACCCUUCGUGAGACCCAACCUCCUGGCACUGUUCUGGCAUGUUCCAGAAGCUUCUGGUGCUUAGCUGCUGGAAUUCUUUUUGAAUUUGGGCUAUACGGGCUAGGGGUUUAUGAAUUUGGGUAUUUGGGCUGGUAUAAAUUCUUUAUCUGGGCCUAAAAAAUUUGUAAAAGGACAUUGGUAUUUGGAAUUUUAUUUGUGUGUUUUUUUAUUUUUGGUUUUUUAAUUUCUAUGUUUUUAUUCUAAUGGGCCCGGGCGAAAUGGGCCUAUUACAAUGUAUAAAGUGAAAAUCCCUAAGGACUCUCAUUUUGUAAAUAUACACUUCUCAGCCAUUUAUGUAAUUCAAUCUGUA